CUUAAGAAAUAAAGCAACAUGUUUUCAUCACUUUUUUGGUGGUUGCAUUUUGAAUAGUUUCCAACUUGCUAAUAGGCAUUAGAUUUCUUGUUUUAACUGAAUAUUCAUUUUUGCAGCUUCUCAUGAUUGAAAAUUGUGGUGAAUGUAAACCCGGCGAGUCUUGGAACAUAGGCGAAAAUGAUGAAACUGAAGACAUUUAUACACCUUGGCCAGAUGACUGUGAAGAGGAGUUCCUCAAAAAUCCCAUAGUUGCGGAACUAACUAUAAAUAACAUAAAGAAUUCAGGAAAACAUUUUUACAAUAAGAACGAGUUUAUAAAUGCAGAAAGGAAAUACACAAAAUGUCUGAGAUAUAUUGACUGGACUUUGACACACAAGAUAGAGAUUGAUAAAAUUGAAGACAUUCAGAGUGUUCUUCUAUUGAAUUUAGCAGCUGUUAAAUUGAGAAGGCGUAAAUAUAAAGAAGCUAUUUUAUUAUGCAAUGAGGUGCUCGAAGCAGACAAAUGUAACGUGAAAGCUUUGUACAGAAGAGCUCAAGCAAGGCUGGCUUUGAUGGAAUACGAUAAAGCACUGGAAGACAUUAACAAUGCCUCUAUUUUGCUACCAAACGAUAAGAAUAUUCAGGAAGUCCAACGUGAAGCUAAAAAAGUCAAAUUGAUGUACCUGAAAAAUGAAAAAAAAUUCUAUGCUAAAGUAUUCAGUUAAUGUGUUGGUAAUAGUUUCUGUCAAUCGCCAAAACUGAAAUGCUUUGUUUUUUAACCGAAUAUAGAAAAGAGGUACAUAAUAUGUGAUUGAUACAAUAGCAUUCAAACAACAUCUAAAGUUCCAUGUCUAUUUUUCUAUAAUAUCAGCGCUUGGAGGGGGGCACCUUUUUGUCUUUUUGGCCGCAGCCUUCAGCCAAGUACACUUGCCAUGAUCCCCUGACCUAAGCUCUAG